AGAGUUUGAUCAUGGCUCAGAACGAACGCUGGCGGCGCGUUUUAAGCAUGCAAGUCGAACGGCAGUACGGGUAGCAAUACCUGUGCGAGAGUGGCGAACGGGUGAGUAACACGUAGGUGAUCUACCCCUGGAUGGGGGAUAGUCCGUGGAAACACGGGGUAAUACCGCAUGAGGCCUUGGGGGUAAAGCCCUGAGGUGAAAGCUCCAACUGGAGCGUCUGGGGAUGAGCCUGCGGCCCAUUAGGCAGUUGGCGGGGUAAAGGCCCACCAAACCGACGAUGGGUAGCCGGCCUGAGAGGGUGUACGGCCACACUGGAACUGAGACACGGUCCAGACUCCUACGGGAGGCAGCAGCUAAGAAUCUUCCGCAAUGGGGGAAACCCUGACGGAGCGACGCCGCGUGGACGAUGAAGGCCGUAAGGUUGUAAAGUCUUUUUGCAGGAGAAGAAUAAGCCGGGGAGUGGAAAGCCCUGGUGAUGACGUUAUCCUGCGAAUAAGCUCUGGCCAAUUACGUGCCAGCAGCCGCGGUAAUACGUAUGGGGCGAGCGUUGUUCGGAGUUAUUGGGCGUAAAGGGCGUGUAGGCGGCUCGAGAAGUCUGGUGUGAAAUCGCAGGGCCUAACUCUGCGGGUGCGCUGGAAACUGUCGGGCUGGAGUCUCGGGGGGGAAGCUGGAAUUUCUGGUGUAGGAGUGAAAUCUGUAGAGAUCAGGAAGAACACUGGUGGCGAAGGCGAGCUUCUAUUCGAGGACUGACGCUGAGGCGCGAAAGCGUGGGGAGCAAACGGGAUUAGAUACUCUGGUAGUUCACGCUGUAAACGAUGUGCACUAGGCGUGGGGCACGUCGGUGCUCUGUGCCGUAGCUAACGCGAUAAGUGCACCGCCUGGGGAGUAUGCUCGCAAGGGUGAAACUCAAAGGAAUUG
rnacentral:rRNA from 1 species